rnacentral:rRNA from 1 species
UAAUGGGUCAGCGAGUUACUUUCAGUGGCGAGGUUAACUGAAUAAGGGAGCCGUAGAGAAAUCGAGUCUGAAUAGGGCGAUAGUCGCUGGGAGUAGACCCGAAACCGGGCGAUCUAGCCAUGUGCAGGAUGAAGGUUGGGUAACACCAACUGGAGGUCCGAACCGGGUAAUGUUGAAAAAUUAUCGGAUGACGUGUGGCUAGGAGUGAAAGGCUAAUCAAGCCCGGAGAUAGCUGGUUCUCCCCGAAAGCUAUUUAGGUAGCGCCUCGUGAAUGAUUACUGGGGGUAGAGCACUGUUUCGGCUAGGGGGCUGUCAUGGCUUACCAAACCGAUGCAAACUCCGAAUACCGGCUAAUUGGAUCACGGGAGACACACGGCGGGUGCUAACGUCCGUCGUGGAGAGGGAAACAACCCAGACCGCCAGCUAAGGUCCCCAAGUACUAGUUAAGUGGGAAACGAUGUGGGAAGGCAUAGACAGCCAGGAGGUUGGCUUAGAAGCAGCCACCCUUUAAAGAAAGCGUAAUAGCUCACUGGUCGAGUCGGCCUGCGCGGAAGAUGUAACGGGGCUAAAACUAGUCACCGAAGCUGCGGAUGUGCGCGAAGGCGCACGUGGUAGGGGAGCGUUCUGUAGGCUGAUGAAGGUGCAUUGAGAAGUGUGCUGGAGGUAUCAGAAGUGCGAAUGCUGACAUGAGUAACGAUAAUGUGGGUGAAAAGCCCACACGCCGGAAGUCCCAGGUUUCCUGCACGACGUUAAUCGGAGCAGGGUGAGUCGGCCCCUAAGGCGAGGCUGAAGAGCGUAGUCGAUGGGAACCAGGUUAAUAUUCCUGGACUUUUUAUAAGUGGUGAAGUGGGGACGAAGAAGGCUAGGUGAGCCAGGCGUUGGUUGUCCUGGUACUUGCAUGUAGGGGGGAAGACUUGGCAAAUCCGGUUUUCCAUAACUCUGAGGUGCGAAGUGGUUCUGACCUUUUGGUACAGAGAAGUCAUUGAUGCCCGGCUUCCAGGAAAAGCUGCUAGCCAUAACUUAUAGAGAACCGUACCGCAAACCGACACAGGUGGACAGGUAGAGAAUACUAAGGCGCUUGAGAGAACUCGGGUGAAGGAACUAGGCAAAAUGGUACCGUAACUUCGGGAG